CCCCAGUCAGGUAGCUGCAGCCCAGGCCCCGUGUGGCGGCCUCUGACCUUAACCCUGGCCCCCCUCGCUGAGUUAAUCAGUAAUGGGGCAGCUCCCGGCUGACAUCAAACCAGCAGCUAAACAAACAGCUAAUGGGGCAGGCCGAUGGCUCUGCCCACCCCACCCCCACGGCUCUGCCUGGGUCUCUGGGGGCCGCUAGACCUGUACCUGCCAUGGCCUGUCCUGCCCUCGGCAGCACCAGCAUCCCUUCCUGCCCUGGGACCGGCCCCGAGCCCUGCUGGCUUCUCCGUCCCCGGCAGGGUCUGUGGCCAGACGGGACGUUUGCUGAACGCUCGGCCCUAGUUCAGCAGGAAUUCACUCCGGGCCGGUCUCUGGCCUGGGCGCGACGGGAGAUCGCCACCGGCAACGGCACCAACGCCUUCUACACCAACCCUGCCACGUCAGACAAUCUCUAGGGGCGCCACCCUGAGGACUGGUGGGAGCAGAGCUCCCACCAUCGCCAUGUGCUUCCUGCAGCUCGACUCCAGGGUGCUGGGCAGGGCCGACAAGGCAGCCCCAGGCAGGGGUUUGCUGCACGGGGCAGAGGGGGUAUCAGCCCUGGGGACUCCCCCCCCCUGCAACUCCCGGCCCUGUGGGAGGGGGAGCUGCUCCAGCUCCGAUUGGGCCUGUGGGGCAAGCACUGAUGGGGCAAAUUCCUCCCCCCGCUCCACAAGGGAGGGCAAAGGGGCUGCUCCAAAUAUACCCCACCAACCAGCCUGGGCAGUGCAGGGAAUACGACAGGGACUCCCCAGGGGAGCCCCCCCCCAUACUGUCCCAAGCUGUGUAUGGGGUGUGUCCCUGCUCCUCCCCCCACAACCUCCCCGCAGCCUGGGGAGCUCUCUCUGGCCCAGCUCCUGCCUGUUCCCAGGAGGUGGGGGAGCAUCAGAUGGUUCCGGAGCAGCCGAAUUUGAAUGCAUGAAGGAACUGGAUGAACAAUGCAAGGGAGGGACCCUCCUCUGUCUCCCCCCAAUUCCAAGCCCCUCCUGCCCCCAAUCACUUGCCAAAUGUAUCCUGCCAUGGGGCCCCCAGUAUGCAGUGUUCAGGUUCCAGGGGUCGCGUUUGCCUGCACCACUGGCCUGGGGCUCUGUUUUUAUACCUGUGAUCUGUAACCACUUGGCUCUGUGACGGCCGCCCCACCGUGCAGGGGGGUCACAAUGUCCUUGGGAAGGUCUGUAUUUACAGUGCUGCACAAUAAAGGGAUCUGUGCUGA